rnacentral:sRNA from 1 species
GGCUAUGUGGUGUCCCCUUCCUCCCUCAUGACUUCACGUGUCCCUGCUGAGACUGCAUGCUCAGUGGAAGAGGAGGAGCUCCCACGGAAGAGGAUUUUUUCCUCAGUGUACCAGUAGCUACACUCCCCUGGUAGAAUCUCCACCUAGCAUGCAAACAAUAGAGGAAGGGAGAGGAGAGAGAAGGGGAUAAUGAGAUAAGACAUAAUAAGAGUAUUAUAGGAUAAUAAAUUGU